GAGACACGCUGGCGGCGUGGAUUAGGCAUGCAAGUCGAACGGUAUCAUCCUUUCGGGGGUGAGAGAGUGGCGAACUGGUGAGUAACACGUAGGUUAUCUACCCUCAAGACGGGGACAACCCAGGGAAACUUGGGCUAAUACCGGAUGUGAGCAACUUUAGUUGUUUGAAAGGUGGCGUAAGCUGUCGCUUGGGGAUGAGCCUGCGUCCUAUUAGUUAGUUGGUGAGGUAACGGCUCACCUAGGCAAUGAUAGGUAGGCGGCCUUAACGGGUGGUCGCCCACACUGGGAUUGAGAUACGGCCCAGACUCCUACGGGAGGCAGCAGUCGAGAAUAGUCUACAAUGGUCGGAAGACUGAUAGUGCGACGCCGCGUGAACGAUGAAUCCCUUCGGGGUGUAAAGUUCUUUUAUAUGUGAGCAGUGCUUCUUAUAUUAACAGUAUGGGGAGAGAGAUAUUAGCAUAUGAAUAAGCAACGGCUAACUCCGUG
rnacentral:rRNA from 1 species